rnacentral:rRNA from 1 species
AUACGUAGGGGGCAAGCGUUAUCCGGAAUUACUGGGUGUAAAGGGUGAGUAGGCGGCAUUGAUAAGUAAGAUGUGAAAGCCCGCAGCUUAACUGCGGGAUUGCAUUUAAACUAUUGAGCUAGAGUACAGGAGAGGAAAGCGGAAUUCCCAGUGUAGCGGUGAAAUGCGUAGAUAUUAGGAGGAACACCAGUGGCGAAGGCGACUUGCUGGACAUUAACUGACGCUGAGGCGCGAAAGCGUGGGGAGC